GGAGUUGUAGCUCAGUGGUAGAGUGCUUGUCUAGCACAUGUGAGGCACUGGGUUUGAUUCUCAGCACCA
rnacentral:tRNA from 1 species